rnacentral:rRNA from 1 species
AUUGAACGCUAGCGGGAUGCUUUACACAUGCAAGUCGAACGGCGUGGCGAACGGGUGCGUAAUGUAUCGGAACGUGCCCCGUCGCGGGGGAUAACUACGCGAAAUCGUAGCUAAUCCCGCAUACUAUUUGAGCGGCCGUUAUCGGAUUAGCUAGUUGGUGAGGUAACGGCUCACCAAGGCGACGAACCGUAGCUGGUUUGAGAGGACGACCAGCCACACUGGGACUGAGACACGGCCCAGACUCCUACGGGAGGCAGCAGUGGGGAAUUUUGGACAAUGGGGGCAACCCUGAUCCAGCCAUACCGCGUGUGCGAUGAAGGCCUUCGGGUUGUAAAGCACUUUUGGCAGGAAAGCGGUACCUGCAGAAUAAGCACCGGCUAACUACGUGCCAGCAGCCGCGGUAAUUC